GUGUGUGUGUGUGUCUCUCUCGUUUUGUCUCGCUUUCGAGCGCGUAAAGUUCUUGCAUUUUGUUGUGUUUUUGUUACGGUAAAUGUGUCGCAAUUUUUGGGCUCCAACCGCCACCCACGCGCGAAUGAUUUACAGACAGGCCCGAACAUGAUUUAAGGCCGCCCGAUUGCUAUCUGCGAAUGCCGCAAUUAUGUUUUAAUUGGCGCUAAAUGGUUCACACACACAAAAGCCGUGAAAGAAAGGAUUAGUAGCAGCAACGCGAGGGGAAAGCGUGUUUGUUAAGGUUUACAGUUUUGGCGCGUAAGAAGUGGAACAAAUAAGCAAAAUGGCGUGGGAAAAGGAUAGGCCAAAAGGAAGAGGAAGAAGACUGUGAAAAGGACUCGAAACGACAAACAGAAAUUAACACAAAUGUUUCAUAAACUGGCAUAUCUUGAUGAACAGGAAAAGAAGGGAAAGGAAAGGAAACAGGAGCAGGAAAAGCAGUCAGAGGAUUGUGUACCACCCCCAGGACACGUGUUAAGUAGCCCUUAUCCUUCGUGUGAUAUUGUGUGAUUAUCAUCGGCUGGUAAUAUGCCGAACCUACAUCACGUCGACUACAAUCGGAAGUAUUCCGCCACGGAAACC
rnacentral:sRNA from 1 species